rnacentral:lncRNA from 1 species
GUUUUUGAAAUAAUUAAAACAUCACAUCAUUUUUGGAAUUUGCAGUAUAUGAUAAUAAAAAAUGUAUAAUUUUACAUGUAAAUGCAGUGAUUGUCUAAAUAUUGCAAGGAUUUAAAACUGAAAAUAAUAUCAAGUUAAAUUUACUAAUUCUUCAAAUUAAGUAUGUACUAUCAAAUCAAAAUGCUGCAAGUGCAUACUGAACACAUAUCAUGGGACAUAUACAUCAAAAUAAGCAACCAAAUACUGCAACUUUUAAUGAAAUAACAGGUAGAAAAGAGGGACAAAAGAUACAAGAGGGACAGUCAAAUCAUAAAUCCAAAGUAAACUAACAACGCCAUGGCUAAAAAGAAAAAGACAAACAGACAAACAAUAGUACACAUGGCACAGCAUAGAAAACUAAAAAAUAAGCAACACGAACCCCAAAUUGAUUUGAAACCCACUAAUAAACAUAACUACAGAUUUCAUAAAACACUGGAAUGAAAUCAGUAAGAUAUCAACAAACAUGUUUUAAAGCUUC